rnacentral:rRNA from 1 species
UACAGAGGGGGCGAGCGUUGUUCGGAAUUACUGGGCGUAAAGGGCGCGUAGGCGGCCUCUUAAGUCGAACGUGAAAUCCCCGGGCUCAACCCGGGAACUGCGUCCGAUACUGGGAGGCUUGAAUCCGGGAGAGGGAUGUGGAAUUCCAGGUGUAGCGGUGAAAUGCGUAGAUAUCUGGAGGAACACCGGUGGCGAAGGCGGCAUCCUGGACCGGUAUUGACGCUGAGGCGCGAAAGCCAGGGGA